GUAGGGUGCAAGCGUUAAUCGGGAAUUACUGGGGCGUAAAGCGUGCGCAGGCGGUUAUAUAAGACAGAUGUGAAAUCCCCGGGGCUCAACCUGGGAACUGCAUUUGUGACUGUAUAGCUAGAGUACGGCAGAGGGGGAUGGAAUUCCGCGUGUAGCAGUGAAAUGCGUAGAUAUGCGGAGGAACACCGAUGGCGAAGGCAAUCCCCUGGGCCUGUACUGACGCUCAUGCACGAAAGCGUGGGGAGCAAACAGGAUUAGAUACCCUGGUAGUCCACGCCCUAAACGAUGUCAACUGGUUGUUGGGUCUUCACUGACCCAGUAACGAAGCUAACGCGUGAAGUUGACCGCCUGGGGAGUACGGCCGCAAAGGUUG
rnacentral:rRNA from 1 species